AUGGCCACAGCCAGUUAUACAGGACACAUAAGACAAAGAGAAGCUGCUCCCAGCACAGCUGCAGCUGGGGGUCAGGGAGGGGCAAGGUCAGGAGAGGUUUUUGCACCACUCUGUGUCACAGUGUGUUAUGUAUUCGGUGGAGGAACCAAGCUGACCGUCCUAGGUCAGCCCAAGUCUGCUCCCACAGUCAGCCUGUUCCCACCCUCCUCUGAGGAGCUCCAGGACAACAAGGCCACAGUGGUGUGUCUCCUGAAUUCCUUCUACCCUGGCUCCGUGACAGUCAACUGGAAGGCCGAUGGCAACACUAUCACCCAAGGUGUGCAGACCACACAGCCUGUCAAACAGAGCGACAACAAAUACAUGGCCAGCAGUUACCUGACCCUGACUCCCGACCAGUGGAGGUCUCACCAGAGAGUCAGCUGCCAGGUCACACACGAGGCAGGCAAUGUGGAGAAGAGUUUGGCCCCUUCAGAGUGUUCCUAGGACCCCGACCUCAGCCUCUCCUCUGGCGGCUGAAGUAGAAGAACUCUGAGAAAGAGUCUCUUUGCUACGCCCCCCCUCUCCUGACUUUCUCUUUGAACCCAUUAUUGCUCAAUAAACUGUCCCUUGUCAAUCAGAA